AGAGUUUGAUUCUGGCUCAGAACGAACGCUGCGGCAUGGAUUAGGCAUGCAAGUCGAACGAAGUAGCAAUACUUAGUGGCGCAAGGGUGAGGAACGCGUGAGUGACUUACCCGCAAGUUUGGAACAGCUCCUGGAAACGGGAAUUAAUACCGGAUGUGAUCAACGGGCUGCAUGGUUUGUUGAUUAAAGCAGUAAUGCGCUUGCGGAUGGGCUCGCGUCCCAUUAGCUAGUUGGUGAGGUAACGGCCCACCAAGGCCAUGAUGGGUAGCUGGUCUGAGAGGACGACCAGCCACACUGGGACUGAGAACUGCCCAGACUCCUACGGGAGGCUGCAGUCGAGAAUUUUGGGCAAUGGACGAAAGUCUGACCCAGCAAUGCCGCGUGCGGGAUGAAGGUCUUCGGAUUGUAAACCGCUGUUUGGAGGGACGAAAUUUGACGGUACUUCCAGAGAAAGCCACGGCUAACUACGUGCCAGCCGCAGC
rnacentral:rRNA from 1 species